rnacentral:rRNA from 1 species
AUUGAACGCUGGCGGCAGGCUUAACACAUGCAAGUCGAACGGUAGCAGGAGGAAGCUUGCUUUCUUGCUGACGAGUGGCGGACGGGUGAGUAAUGCUUGGGAAUCUGGCUUAUGGAGGGGGAUAACGACGGGAAACUGUCGCUAAUACCGCGUAGUGUCGAGAGACGAAAGGGUGGGACUUUUAGCCACCUGCCAUAGGAUGAGCCCAAGUGGGAUUAGGUAGUUGGUGGGGUAAUGGCUCACCAAGCCUGCGAUCUCUAGCUGGUCUGAGAGGAUGACCAGCCACACUGGAACUGAGACACGGUCCAGACUCCUACGGGAGGCAGCAGUGGGGAAUAUUGCGCAAUGGGGGGAACCCUGACGCAGCCAUGCCGCGUGAAUGAAGAAGGCCUUCGGGUUGUAAAGUUCUUUCGGUAUUGAGGAAGGUUGAUGUGAUAAUAGUACAUCAAAUUGACGUUAAAUACAGAAGAAGCACCGGCUAACUCCGUGCCAGCAGCCGCGGUAAUACGGAGGGUGCGAGCGUUAAUCGGAAUAACUGGGCGUAAAGGGCACGCAGGCGGUUAUUUAAGUGAGGUGUGAAAGCCCUGGGCUUAACCUAGGAAU